GAUGAACGCUGGCGGCGUGCCUAAUACAUGCAAGUCGAGCGAACGGACGAGAAGCUUGCUUCUCUGAUGUUAGCGGCGGACGGGUGAGUAACACGUGGAUAACCUACCUAUAAGACUGGGAUAACUUCGGGAAACCGGAGCUAAUACCGGAUAAUAUGUUGAACCGCAUGGUUCAAAAGUGAAAGGCGGUCUUGCUGUCACUUAUAGAUGGAUCCGCGCUGCAUUAGCUAGUUGGUAAGGUAACGGCUUACCAAGGCAACGAUGCAUAGCCGACCUGAGAGGGUGAUCGGCCACACUGGAACUGAGACACGGUCCAGACUCCUACGGGAGGCAGCAGUAGGGAAUCUUCCGCAAUGGGCGAAAGCCUGACGGAGCAACGCCGCGUGAGUGAUGAAGGUCUUCGGAUCGUAAAACUCUGUUAUUAGGGAAGAACAUAUGUGUAAGUAACUGUGCACAUCUUGACGGUACCUAAUCAGAAAGCCACGGCUAACUACGUG
rnacentral:rRNA from 1 species